rnacentral:misc_RNA from 1 species
AAUCAUUGCCCACAAGAAGUAACCAGCUCGAAGAUUCUUCUUUGCAAGCCAAUCAUACCUAAGUGAAAAUGCUACUAGCAGUCCAGGCAAUAGGAUGUCACCAAAGCCGAUAAUGCUGUAACCACCCCAUGGAUCAAAUAGUCGUGGAAUCUUCAGCAGCAUUGGAAUACCAUCUUCUCCACUUUUAUCACCACGAGCUACCACAAUCAUCACACUUUCAUGGAAGAGACUCUGAGAAGCAAAUACCCAAAAUAUGUCGUAGAUGAAGGCGCAACCCAAAAGAACUGAACCAACCUUGAGAUUAGGUAUCCGCACAAUUUGCAGAACUGUAAUUAUAAGUGCAAUGCCAAGUAUGUCUUGACCUAUCCAGCCAAAAGAAGAAUUUCUGUACAUUGCCCAAACCACUGCAAAAGUUAUGCAGAAUGGCGAAACAGCCAAAGUAAGAUAAGAAACUGCACCAAAAAUGGGUACUUUAAUGUAUGACUCUCCCGUAGGCUUAAACCACCUAGCUAGCAAGGCAACUAAGCAAGUUUGUAGCCCCUCCACACCACCGAUGCAGAAGAGAACCACUAAGAUUUCAAAGAACCAUGUGAACCUCAUUAACUUGUACAAAACAAACAAGAAGCAAGAAGCAACAACAACAAAUAAGACUGCUGAUAUCAUGUUUAUAUCCAUCACAGUGCUUGAAUCACCAGUUCCAAAUUUUGGAAGCUCUUCCUCUGAAGCAUCCUUCAACAGCUUGUCCUGCUCUAUAGCUGCUUCUCUAGCACUCCAAGCAGACCAAUAAGAACCACACAAGAUUGUACCAACAGCCAUCAGCCACAAAAAUACUUCUGCAAUGUCCACUACUGGUCGUUUUGGAGAAUAGAGUUGCACAGUAACUGAUGAGCCAUUUAAAAGCAUUUUAUUAAGCGUUAUUCCAGCAUCCUGAGGUAGCAUAACAGCAGGAAUGUGUAUAUCUAGGUCAGUUUCUCCAGGAUCACAAACCAUCUUGUAGAGUUCUUUUUGAUUAUUUACUAUCAGGAUUGCCGAAGCCCCUGCUGCUUCAGCAUUAUUAGCCUUCGUUGUGAAUUUGCAAUGGCCGCUGGCCCGUUUUAAGUCAGAUGAAUAUAUGACAGAGAUCCUUGGCUCCUUGGAGAGCCGGGCUGCCACAGCAGUAGCUUGCUGUCUUCCGAUGUCAUUUAAUUCGACAUCUAAAUGUCCCUGAAUUCUGCCACCAGCGUUCCAUUCCGUCUCACCAUGACGGAUUACGAUAAUCUCAGUGAAAUUAGGACUCACAUUUUCAGAUUUCGCAUCUCCGCCACACUCAGGCUGCGAUAUAACCCUAGAAGUAGAAUCAGCCAUGGAAAUAUGAAGAAGAGGAGGGAUUGAAUUGGAUCUCAAGGCGGGUAUUCUGAGAGUAUGGUUGGAAAUUGCAGCAAUUGGUAACAAUUUUGAGCAACAAAAAUUGCUGGUCUGAGAGUGGCGGAGAAGCAGAUGAAUGUCAGGCUUUAG